UUAGAGGCGAUUUAAAUGUAACAGUGCCAAUUUUGAUUGAAAAUCAGCCAAAUACUUUGACAUGUGAGGCUUCUAACGGAAAUCCUUUGCCAGACAUUUGGUGGACUUGCAGUGGAAUACCAAUUGAUAAUGUUACAUCGGCAGUCACACAUAAUUCCUCCACUUCGAUCUUGCACUUAACACCAACCUCAGAUUUCCACAAUAAAACAUGUUCGUGUAUCGGAAGGCAAAAUAACUCAAUGUUUGCAGAAAUAAGUAAAUCCACAAUGUUACGUGUUUUAUGUAAGUAACUUUUGCUUAUUUAUACAUUUUAUGUAGGAUAUAUGUCAUGGGCCGACAUUUUAAAGGUAUACUGUUUUUGAAGUCGGACACAUUAUUUGGUGCACCUAGUGUAUUUUUCUGUGUAAGAUGUUUUUUGACUCGUUCGUAAUUUCUUCAAAACUGUCUGCAAAGGCCUAUACAAAUUUGAUGUUUCAUGAGAAGUUUUCUCAACUUCAUGUUGAAAACAGUCACGUUAUCUUUAUGAUUAAUCCUUUAAGGACAGUUUCUUUUGCCGUUCAGUCGGACACCACAAAUAACAAUCCUAACACACAAACUUUACAGAAUAACACAUAUUUGAAACAGAACACUUUAAAGUAAGAACACGCUGAAAGCAAAUAAUCGAAGCAAAGCUAAAACUUAUGAUUUUUUAAGCAUGUGCAGUGUAGAUAUUACAUAUUUGCCCUUUAAUAAUCAUGACAUUCAUGAACAUAAAAAGUUCAUUGAAGAUAUGGAACUCAAUCUUUUUUCCAACACAGGGGCGAAUUACCUGUGACUAAUCGUAUGACUUACAAUCAUCUUUUAAACUAUUAAACUAAAUUCCCUAUAUGCAAAGAAUAUCCCAAAAUAAGGUUCCAUUUUUUGUAGCAUGUAGGUGCAAUAUUUUCCGUCUUAGAUAAAUAGGGAAGCUUUAGUCAGCUUUAGUAAUUUACUAUUGAAAUUGUCUUGUAUGAAUGAAAUACGGUCAAUAAUUAAGGUAAUUAUGUUUAUCUUCAAAAUUGAGAAUGGAAAUGGGGAAUAUGUCAAAGAGACAACAACCCGACCAAAGAGCAGACAACAGCCGAAGGCCACCAAUGGGUCUUCAACGCAGCGAGAACCAUAUUCUUUUGUAUAAAAGAAGAUUAUAAUUUGUUGUUUUGGGUUUUAAUCGUGUAAGACAUGUAAGAGAUGAUUUAUCCUAAAUUCUUCUGGGUCUUUUGACAUGUGACCUGUCGAUAAUAUUGUUUUCAUGCAUUUGGCUUUAAUUCUUCAUUCAAGAGUUUUUACAUAAGCAAACAAGUUGUAAUGUGACCUUACACCCAUCAACGACAUCAGGUUACUUAAGUGCCUUUAUUUGUUGCUGCUUUCGUCAGCUAAUGCAACCGUUGUCGAGACCAGCAUCUGUAUGUAUUUUGUUUAAUUGCCGAAAUGUAAUUUUGUAUAUUGCUGAUUCUGUAACGGAUAAGAAUAAACGUCAGUCCGUAUUUCGCUUUGACAUCAUACUUGAGUUGGUGCUUAUAUACUAGUCAACAAAAAUAACGAUACACAUGUUUGCACUCCAAUUUAUCGUGACAUAUGAUGCAUAGGGAAAACUGUUAUAAAGUAUCCAAUGAAAAACACUGAUUUGCAAAGCAAAUGCAUAUGCAUAUGAUUAAAAGAAUCUGACCAAAUUGGAAAAUGAGAAAAUACCGUGUUAUUGAACACAGGGGUCAAAUUUAUUUUGCGGAAAAUGAUGACAAAAGUCGGCACUUAUUUUCACAGAUGAGAAUUAAGAAUUCAAAUAUCUGCAAACGCAUUCAAUUUUUAAGCAGACAUUGUUUAAGUUUAAAGUUUUAAGUUCUAAUGUCGAUUUUUGGGUGAAAAUACGAUUUUUUAAAUAACAAAAAUUGCAAAAACAAAAUUCGCUUAUUUGCCUUAAAUCAAUAGUUUUGAUAAGAAAAUAACAAUCUGUAAAUAUUAGACCAAUUGGAAAAUUAUUUUCUUUGGUACAGUGAAUCCAAUUUCAUUAUAUAUGGAAAAUGCUUUGCCUUGUAUCGUUUCUUUUGUUGACUAGUAUAUAAUUGUUUUUCCACAUUUGCUUUGGUGUGCAUCUUAAGAUGUUCCUAUUUGGUUCUUGUUGCCAGUAUUUGCUUAUCCUACAAAACUCAAGCAUUGCAUCAUUUGUGUUUUCUUAUUCGGACUGAUAUUCUACGUAGUGUCCCUUACCAAUUAGUUGAGAUGGAUAUGGCUUUACACAUGACGUUUCAUUUGUAUUUCAUCACUCAAAGGUAAAACUGCUUUUAAUCGGGCCUAUUGUCAAUGACUUAUUGAUGACAUACAGUUGAAUGAAGAUCAGUUUCAGAUCCAAUUUUGUUGUUUUUUCUGUUGACAACAUUUCAUCUGAUUGAAAUUUUGAUCCGAAAAAAUUUCCCCAAAAAUUCGUUUGCUUGAUUUGUUUUGCGGCGAAUGAUUUCCAUUCGUUUAAUAAUGAGACGAAGUUUAUCGUAUUUCUAACUUUUGAAUAUUUAUUGAAGCAUUUCGAUUCAUUCCAUUUUUGAUAGAAUUACAUUCCGUAAAAAUUGAAAUUAUUUUUUCAUUUUUCCAUUUGAUCUCCAGAUGUGAGAUACAAAGCAAGUGUUUGUUUCUGCUAGCUUACACAUAUAUUUAGGGGAAAGUUGUUAUAUCACCUUUCCUUUUACUGCAUGAUUUUAAAGUAAUACAUGUAGCUAUGAUGCAAUCAGUUUUCUCAUCUUGUUUAUCCUUAUUUAUUGCAUAUUCGGUAAAUGAAGUGAUAUUGUCUUCCACUAAUCUUUCUGUUGGGGUUCGCUCUUAUCUUAUUUGUAGUGUUACUGGUGGAAAUCCAGAGCCUGUUGCAAAAUGGCAGAGUGAUGGCAAACUGCAAAAUACUUAUCUAAUUAGAUCCUCAGAUGCCAUCGUAGCAAUGUUGCCAAUUAUCCCAACUAGAGCUCAUAAUGGCAGGCGAUAUACAUGUGUUGUUAACCAGCCUGACACAAGUUUCAAAAACAUUUCAAAAUCAUUGGUUCUUCGUGUAACACAUGAUUCAGACAGUAAUGCAAGGGGAAUGAGUAUCAUACCAUGCAAGUGAAUUCUGCUCAACAUUUAAGUCUUCUAAAGUUUCAUAUGUUGAAAGAUAGAAGAAAUUAAACUCAUCAUAAAUAGAACAAAUAUGGAUGAUUUGAUUUAAUAUUAUAUAGUCGGACAUAGCAUACUGUAAAUUUUAGAUUUGAUAAAAAACAGUUUGAUCAAAGCAGCACCAAAUCAUUUUAUUUUUUUUUUUAUAAAGAAAAACAGUUAACGAUAUGUCUCAUAACCUUUUGGCUAAUAUGCCCGUAUUUACACUUCAUAUUUUACUCGCGUAAAGACAAACCUGUGAACCUGGAAAAGUUUAAAUAAAGGCAACAGUAGUA